ACGCAAGUCUGAUGGAGCAACGCCGCGUGAGUGAAGAAGGCUUUCGGGUCGUAAAACUCUGUUGUUGGAGAAGAAUGGUCGGCAGAGUAACUGUUGUCGGCGUGACGGUAUCCAACCAGAAAGCCACGGCUAACUACGUGCCAGCAGCCGCGGUAAUACGUAGGUGGCAAGCGUUAUCCGGAUUUAUUGGGCGUAAAGCGAGCGCAGGCGGUUUUUUAAGUCUGAUGUGAAAGCCCUCGGCUUAACCGAGGAAGCGCAUCGGAAACUGGGAAACUUGAGUGCAGAAGAGGACAGUGGAACUCCAUGUGUAGCGGUGAAAUGCGUAGAUAUAUGGAAGAACACCAGUGGCGAAGGCGGCUGUCUGGUCUGUAACUGACGCUGAGGCUCGAAAGCAUGGGUAGCGAACAGGAUUAGAUACCCUGGUAGUCCAUGCCGUAAACGAUGAAUGCUAGGUGUUGGAGGGUUUCCGCCCUUCAGUGCCGCAGCUAACGCAUUAAGCAUUCCGCCUGGGGAGUACGACCGCAAGGUUGAAACUCAAAGGAAUUGACGGGGGCCCGCACAAGCGGUGGAGCAUGUGGUUUAAUUCGAAGCAACGCGAAGAACCU
rnacentral:rRNA from 2 species